CACUGGUACCUUUGGGCACUCUGGAAGGUUUGGCUGCCUGUGUCUCCCAGUCUGGGAGCACUUGGAACAACCUGAUUUUGCCAGAGAUCCCUUCCCCUGACACAAGAUUUGUUAACUGGAGCCAAUAGGCACCCAGCUGCAGAGAGAAGAUGAUCUUCAUCACCCUUAAGCACCAGGAAAGGAAUUUCCAGAUGGAAUUAGCAAAGCCUCCACCCCUACAGUCCAAGCAGUUGCUGAGUAUCAUUAAUCAUUCCAUCAAAUGGAGCAUUCACCACCCUCCUGGUAAGAGCAGGUUGCUGGAAAACAUUCCUCAUUACAAUUCCUAUUUGGCAUUGCACUGCAAUACAUCUGGCAACAGUGUUUGGGGUUGAUGUUUAACUAAACUACAUGUACAGGCAGUUGGUGUAAGUACAAUGCAGAAUACCUGUACAUUUAUCUGUGUUUAUCAGCUCUCCUUCCUGUGACCUAUUAGUACUUAAAUACCAUAUCAGAUACCUGCAUAUAUUAUAUACACCAGACUCACCACACUACACAUGGUAAUCAUGGUAAAUCUGCCCAAAGCAGCAAAUAACAACCAGCAGCAGACACAGAACACCUUCACAACUGCUUCCUUUUUGGCUCCAUGCCUACUCUGCACUGCAAGAGCUGCUGCACCAGAGUUGGUUAACAUUUGCACUUGCACAGCUCCUGGAAGAUGAAGGCACUCAAAUAGAGAAAUUAAUAUUCACAGGAGAGCUGUCAGGGGAAAAGGAAGAGUUUUCCCUAAGGUGCACUGUUUCAGUACAGUGUGUUUGACUGGCACUUGGGCUCCUUUCCUUCACAGGGAGAAAUGGGAGAGGCAUAAUCUGUUUGUACUCUGAUUUUCCCCAUCCAAUUAGAACAUCCUUUCAAAGUAUUCCUGUUGUAGGUAGGCAGGAUAAUCUGAUAGAUUUCCAGAGAUGUGGCCUGUCUUGUGCCACCUUCCAGCAGGAGAGGCUUCCCAGGAGAAAGCAGUGUUGUCUCCCAGAGGAGGGGGAAGGACAGCCACAGGCUUCUCACAUGCCUGAUCUCGCAGGAGUGAACCAGGUUGAUGGACAACUUCUAAAUACAGCAAGAUCCUCAGAUGAAGGCUGGCCAGAGAAGUCCAUCUGUGCCUCCCUGGCUUUGGCUGAGCUCCGAGUGCAGCCAACACUGAAAGGGAGAACAAAGCCUUGGAUUUGCAAGGGGACCUCAAGGCCCUCUCAAGCCUCUGCAGAGCGAAGUGUACACAUGAUAAGCCAGGAGAGCCAUUCCAUGCUGCAGUCACAUGCCAUGUGGAAGCUAUAAUCUCACGAGGACACAGAUACGGCCAUGCAAAUAUGGGUUAUGGCUGUGCUAACAUCCAGCUCAUGUCCCUGGAGCUCCUAAAUGGCUUUAAUCUGGCUGCUAAUGCAGGUGAAAGCUUGUGCUGGAGAAGCUUCAUUUCUCCUGGCUCUGAUCAGCCAGGAACAUGCUACCCUUUGGCACCUUGACUGGAGAGGUGAGGACAUAAGCUGGCUACUCCUUGGUUUCAGUCUUUGCAGGUGAGGAGGAGAGGAGCUGUCUGUCACAGCGGGGACAGGUGACAUGACCUGCAGGCAGCAGGCAUGACGAGAGGGUGGUUGGGAAACCAGCUGCAUUUUCAACACCCCCUUCAACCAAACCACUUCUAACAGAGUCCUCACAACAACCAGGCUGAGGCAGCACAGCUACACUCACAGCUAUCACCUCUGCUUCCCUCUGCACAGUUUAUCUUGUGUAAAGUAACACCUAACACUGUCAAAUCCUAGUGUGGGUUAAACAAUGGUAACAUACCUCAGAUGGUCCAAGCAGACCUCACUGCAAAGUUAGCAAGAAAUUGCCUUUGCAUCUGCUCAGCAUCUGCCUGUGAAAGGCUCCUGCAUCCAGAGCUGACAGCAAAAUUCAGACAAGGGGCAGGAAGAAAGCAGACACAGGAGGGAAAAUGCCACAGACAUCUCAAGGGGGAGGGUUUGUCUUAAUGGAUUUUUCUCAUUAUUGACUUCAGCCAUGAGUAAAAGCCAAGCUUCCCUAAGACAGCCUGAGAACAAGAACCUGCCUCUGUUUUAAGACCCACCUUCCCAAGGUGAUACCUGCUCUGGGCAUUUGGCUCAGCAGGAGCUCAGCACCAGCUGCACGAGGAAUUCCUGACCAAGAUCAUCCCAACUUCUGCCAAGAGCAGUGCUGGGCCCGAGAGGCCUCAGAGAGAGGGGCCUUUGUGCAGCCCUGGGACGACUGUGGGUGCCAGAAGCGACCUGGCACAGGAGCACAGCUGAGUCACAGCUGCAGCAAUUGCACCAAUUGUCCCAGGGACACAACAAUUGCACUUGUCUGACUGGUCAGGCCGUGACGGCAGCACAGGGCAGUUCUCUUUGUGAAAGCAUUUCGCCUGGAAGUAAAUUUCCAAAACAAAAUCCCUUUAACUCCAAGCCUUUCCAGGCUUCUCCCUGGCAGGGGCAGUUUACUGAGAGAUGUCAUGCAGGAGAAAGAAAUGCCACUGCUGUUGGCUUUCACCAUCACCUGUGAAGGAGAUAACCCUGAAUCCCCAUUACACUGGGAUGGAAUUCAGGUCUCAGCUCCAGCCAGCUCCCCUAAGAACACCCAAGGUGCAGCCCAAGGUCCCUGUUCUCCAUCAGAAUAAAAGGGUUUUUUUCCCCCCAUCAGAAUAAAAGUUUAUUUUUUGUGCAAA